GUGGAGAGAGAGGGAUAACGUAGGGGAAGUCGGAGAACUCCUUGGUUAUCGGAGCUUGUCGGAGUCUCUUUGGGUAUCAGAGCACGUACAGAAUAACAGUAUGGGGGCAACAUAAUAGAGAAGGGGGAUUUGUCGGGGAGAGCUGUGCUACGCACGACCGUUCGGCACGAGCGCAG
ensembl:ncRNA C46G7.111 ncRNA